UCUUGUGCCAGCCGCCGCGUGAUUCCAGCUCCAAUAGCGUGUAUUAAAGUUGUUGCGGUUAACAAGCUCGUAGUUGAACCUUGGGCCUGGCUGGCCGGUCCGCCUCACCGCGUGCACUGGUCCGGCCGGGCCUUUCCCUCUGUGGAACCCCAUACCCUUCACUGGGCGUGGCGGGGGAACAGGACAUUUACUUUGAAAAAAUUAGAGUGCUCCAGGCAGGCCUAUGCUCGAAUACAUUAGCAUGGAAUAAUAAAAUAGGACGCGCGGUUCUAUUUUGUUGGUUUAUAGGACCGCCGUAAUGAUUAGUAGGGACAGUCGGGGGCAUCAGUAUUCAACUGUCAGAGGUGAAAUUCUUGGAUCAGUUGAAGACUAACUACUGCGAAAGCAUUUGCCAAGGAUGUUUUCAUUAAUCAGGAACGAAAGUUAGGGGAUCGAAGACGAUCAGAUACCGUCGUAGUCUUAACCAUAAACUAUGCCGACUAGGGAUCGGACGGUGUUAUUCAUGACCCGUUCGGCACCUUACGAGAAAUCAAAGUGCUUGGGUCGGGGGGAAAAAAAGGUCGCAAGGCUGAAACUUAAAGAAAUUGACGGAAGGGCACCACCAGGGGUGGAGCCUGCGGCUUAAUUUGACUCAACACGGGGAAACUCACCAGGUCCAGACACAAUAAGGGAUUGACAGAUUGAGAGCUCUUUCUUGAUUUUUGUGGGUGGUGUGCAUGACGUCUUAGUUGUGAGUGACUGUCUGCUGACUGCGAUACGACGAGACUACUGCUAAUAGCGCAUGCUCGCAGUGCGCUGCCUCUAGAGGACUUCGCUCAAGCCGAAGGAGUGAGCAUAACAGUCUUGGAUGCCUAGAUGUUCUGGACGCACG
rnacentral:rRNA from 1 species